rnacentral:rRNA from 1 species
GAUGAACGCUGGCGGCGUGCCUAAUACAUGCAAGUCGAGCGAACGGACGAGAAGCUUGCUUCUCUGAUGUUAGCGGCGGACGGGUGAGUAACACGUGGAUAACCUACCUAUAAGACUGGGAUAACUUCGGGAAACCGGAGCUAAUACCGGAUAAUAUUUUGAACCGCAUGGUUCAAAAGUGAAAGACGGUCUUGCUGUCACUUAUAGAUGGAUCCGCGCUGCAUUAGCUAGUUGGUAAGGUAACGGCUUACCAAGGCAACGAUGCAUAGCCGACCUGAGAGGGUGAUCGGCCACACUGGAACUGAGACACGGUCCAGACUCCUACGGGAGGCAGCAGUAGGGAAUCUUCCGCAAUGGGCGAAAGCCUGACGGAGCAACGCCGCGUGAGUGAUGAAGGUCUUCGGAUCGUAAAACUCUGUUAUUAGGGAAGAACAUAUGUGUAAGUAACUGUGCACAUCUUGACGGUACAUAAUCAGAAAGCCACGGCUAACUACG